rnacentral:rRNA from 1 species
UACGUAGGGGGCAAGCGUUGUCCGGAUUUAUUGGGCGUAAAGAGCGUGUAGGCGGUUUGGUAGGUCCGCUGUGAAAACUCGAGGCUCAACCUCGAGACGCCGGUGGAAACCAUCAGGCUAGAGUCCGGAAGAGGAGAGUGGAAUUCCUGGUGUAGCGGUGAAAUGCGUAGAUAUCCGGAGGAACACCGGUGGCGAAGGCGGCUUCCUGGACCGACACUGACGCUGAGGCGCGAAAGCUAGGGGAGCAAACGGG